rnacentral:rRNA from 1 species
AUUGAACGCUGGCGGCAGGCCUAACACAUGCAAGUCGAGCGGAUGAAGGGAGCUUGCUCCUGGAUUCAGCGGCGGACGGGUGAGUAAUGCCUAGGAAUCUGCCUGGUAGUGGGGGAUAACGUCCGGAAACGGGCGCUAAUACCGCAUACGUCCUGAGGGAGAAAGUGGGGGAUCUUCGGACCUCACGCUAUCAGAUGAGCCUAGGUCGGAUUAGCUAGUUGGGGGGGUAAAGGCCUACCAAGGCGACGAUCCGUAACUGGUCUGAGAGGAUGAUCAGUCACACUGGAACUGAGACACGGUCCAGACUCCUACGGGAGGCAGCAGUGGGGAAUAUUGGACAAUGGGCGAAAGCCUGAUCCAGCCAUGCCGCGUGUGUGAAGAAGGUCUUCGGAUUGUAAAGCACUUUAAGUUGGGAGGAAGGGCAGUAAGUUAAUACCUUGCUGUUUUGACGUUACCAACAGAAUAAGCACCGGCUGACUUCGUG